GAGCUGCGCUGACUGUCCCCAACAUGCUAAAGCAAUCUUCAUCGUCUGGGUUCGUUUGAGAGAAAAUGGUCCUGGUCAAUUAUAUAUUCUUUGAAGCAACUGAGGGGCAAACAGACAAUCUAUUUUGGUCAUGAACUCACAGUACAGAUGCACGUGAUGACGGCCAGUUGCAAGGGUUAUCAAGUCUCUGCUUUAAAACAAAGGAACACUUUCCUUCUGACCAAAACAGUGUCUUCCUGUCAGUCUACAUCCCGUUGUGAUCUCAUUGUUGAACCGCGGCUGAUGCUGGUCUCGUAUCGGAGAGGAACUGCUCCACAGCAGCAUCAUGCAGAGAUCUGAUAGAGGAACUGCACUGGUUCUGCAGUGGACGCAGCAGAAGAGCUGGACUGCAGCGCCCGCGGGAGGAGACAGAAACCACUCAAGCUGUAAAUGAACCCACGACAUGCUUGUCACCAAUUCACGAGCAGAGCAUCUGUAACCUGUGCUGACAGUCUAUCUGUGCACAUGUGCAGCUGCAACACAAAGCCUAGACAUGUUGCCCGUCAAGAUUUAUCUGCUCUGCAGUCGGCCCUGUAGAGCGCAAGUUUUCAGGGCUUUUGUUAUUUUCAGCUGAUAUUUAGAAAGAUAAUGUGCCUCGUACCUAGUGAGCCCUAGUAAGCAUAUAUUGUUUUCGAACUAAAUGUAUUGUUUUUAGACACUUGCUAAUUGCAUGUUAAUUGCCAUUUAAUGAUAUUCAUUGCAUAUUAAAUGCAAUAAGCUCAACCUAAGAGUUUUUUGUGUUUUGGACAUAAAUACAUUAUAUGUGAUUUCAUAAGUAAUUUGUCUUUCUAAUAUGGUAAAACUGGACUUUACUGUACUGCUGAAUAUACUGACAAAAAAUUAACUAAAAUAAACUAAAAUAAAGGGGUCAAGUACAACAGAAGUGAAACGAGGAGCUAAGAAAGCAU